AGUGAACGCUGGCGGUAGGCCUAACACAUGCCAGUCGAACGGCAGCACAGUAAGAGCUUGCUCUUACGGGUGGCGAGUGGCGGACGGGUGAGGAAUACAUCGGAAUCUACUUUUUCGUGGGGGAUAACGUAGGGAAACUUACGCUAAUACCGCAUACGACCUACGGGUGAAAGCAGGGGAUCUUCGGACCUUGCGCGAUUGAAUGAGCCGAUGUCGGAUUAGCUAGUUGGCGGGGUAAAGGCCCACCAAGGCGACGAUCCGUAGCUGGUCUGAGAGGAUGAUCAGCCACCCGGGAACAGAGACACGGUCCAGACUCCUACGGGAGGCAGCAGUGGGGAAUAUUGGACAAUGGGCGCAAGCCUGAUCCAGCCAUACCGCGUGGGUGAAGAAGGCCUUCGGGUUGUAAAGCCCUUUUGUUGGGAAAGAAAAGCAGCAGGUUAAUACCCCGCUGUUCUGACGGUACCCAAAGAAUAAGCACCGGCUAACUUCGUG
rnacentral:rRNA from 1 species